AUUGAACGCUGGCGGCAGGCCUAACACAUGCAAGUCGAGCGGCAGCGGGAAAGUAGCUUGCUACUUUUGCCGGCGAGCGGCAGACGGGUGAGUAAUGCCUGGGAAAUUGCCCAGUCGAGGGGGAUAACAGUUGGAAACGACUGCUAAUACCGCAUACGCCCUACGGGGGAAAGCAGGGGACCUUCGGGCCUUGCGCGGUUGGAUAUGCCCAGGUGGGAUUAGCUAGUUGGUGAGGUAAUGGCUCACCAAGGCGACGAUCCCUAGCUGGUCUGAGAGGAUGAUCAGCCACACUGGAACUGAGACACGGUCCAGACUCCUACGGGAGGCAGCAGUGGGGAAUAUUGCACAAUGGGGGAAACCCUGAUGCAGCCAUGCCGCGUGUGUGAAGAAGGCCUUCGGGUUGUAAAGCACUUUCAGCGAGGAGGAAAGGUUGAUGCCUAAUACGUAUCAACUGUGACGUUACUCGCAGAAGAAGCACCGGCUAACUCCGUGCCAGCCGCCGCGGUAACAC
rnacentral:rRNA from 1 species